AUGAUGAUCUAAAACUAACACUGAAAAUCUCUGCUUUAGAUCAUGUGUCAAGUAAUUGAAUGCCAGCCUUCUUUGUGAUAUAAAAGGAAAUUGCAGGCUUGAAUGUGCCCUGAGACAUGAAGCAUGACAGGGACUAGAAUCCAGCAUUAUCCUUUCCAUGGAAUCCCAGUCCUGAACUGUUGCAACAAAUUGAAGGAACUCAACACAGGGGGCUCAUACAGGAAAAAAAAAUCAAGGAAUUUCUUUAGAGAGGAAGAAAUCGAGUGUUAAGUGUAUUUGAAAGUUUAAGCAGCAGAAAGAAUAUGUUGUGAAAAAAAGUUCUUCAUUAAGUGAACCCCAACAUCUCAGGAGCAGCACAACCAGGUGGUGGGGGCACCCUCCUAGUCUGGGGUUGCUCUCCAGAGUCUGCUCUUUCAGCAAAGGACAAAUCAAUACUGAAUGUGCUGAAGAGAAUCCAGUCCAGAAACAGGUAGCGAAAAUGUGUCUGCCAAACUGUUGAAAGACAAAAAUAAAUCCUCAAACUCUGACUUGCCCUUAUGUCAGCUCAUGUGGCCUCUACCAUAGGGAGCUCUUACAGCUUCUCUAGACAUUACUGUACAGCUUUUGUUCUGAACUAAACUAGACGA